rnacentral:rRNA from 1 species
ACGAAGGGGGCUAGCGUUGCUCGGAAUUAAUGGGCGUAAAGGGCGCGUAGGCGGACAUUUAAGUCAGGGGUGAAAUCCCAGAGCUCAACUCUGGAACUGCCUUUGAUACUGGGUGUCUUGAGUGUGAGAGAGGUAUGUGGAACUCCGAGUGUAGAGGUGAAAUUCGUAGAUAUUCGGAAGAACACCAGUGGCGAAGGCGACAUACUGGCUCAUUACUGACGCUGAGGCGCGAAAGCGUGGGGAGCAAACAGG